GUUCUAUUGGGGAUUUAGGUCUCCAAGACGACAGUUAAUAAAAUUAAAAUUAUUCUGCAUCUGUGUCAGGCAAGUUUCAGGUAGACCAGGACACGCUUAUACAAAAAAUAUAUGAAUACUAGAAUCUCAGGUACUUUUAGUUUAAUUAUACCGGCGCACUGCAUAAGGAUAAUGAUGUGUCUAGAAAGAAUGGGAGAGGCAGAAAGAGCUAUAGUUAGGGGAGAAAGUCAGUGGAAACAAAGAGAUGGUUAGAAAGUGACAGAGAGAGUGGCACUGAUGAAGAGAUGUGAUAGAGAGCCAAGAGGCAUACACAAAGGGAGAAGCUAAAGGGCAGACAGAAGAAGACAGUGAUGAGGACACAGAAAGAAAUGCUGGGGUAAUGUGACAUCAAGCUCACAGAUACAAGCAAGAGUCUUGUUCCACACAGUGACAUCUCCUGAGUUCUUGGAACUCCUUCCUUAGCCCCAUGUCUUCUUACUGGUAUGAAAUAUAAUUCAUAUUCUCCUUCUGCCUCUUUCCCAUACUAUGUAUGAAGCCCACCACAUGACAGUGUCCUUUAUUUUGUUUCUGGACACAGUUCAAGCACCCAGAAGCAUGAAUUGAUGCACAUUAAAUAUCCACUACAUAUUGAAAUAACAGCAGUAAGUGGCAGUUAGUGACACUGGCUGAGGUUAACGUGGGUGAGGAAUGGCAGUGUUCUAAGUCAGUGUUUUCUGAACUUUAAGAACUAUAGCUAAGUUUUACCGUAACUCAACUGCUUGGCUACCUGGUUUUCAAGAAAAGGACUGGACACGGACUUUGAUGCUAAGAGAGCAUUCCUCCCGUUGUAGUGACUGAGAACCUCAGCCUCUGUAGCAACUGAGGUAAUCUGCUUCAUCCUUCUCUUCAAGAGUACUGUUGACCUCACUGUUUCUGUAUAAGAUCUUGUAGCUUAAAGUCGGUCACAGUGUAUUGUUGGAGACUAAGAGUUCUGAUACUUUGAGCUUCCUCUGCCUUCACUUUAAACAUUCAUAUUGAAAUGAUCAUACUUUCACAGGAAUUUGUGAAGAAAUAGUAAGAUUCUCAAGCACCCAUCAUCCAGUCUCCCCACACAUGAGCACCUUCGUAACUACAGUACCUUGGUGUUAAUACAGAGUACCAGGCUCAUUCACAUUUCAUCACAGAUGCAAUUACAUGUUCAUGUGUACAUACAGCUCUACACAACUAUAUCUCAUGUACAGAUUCAUAUAAACACCACCCAAAUCAAGUUUUAAUUAUCCCAUCAGCACAAGUCUCCUUCUGAGGAUCAGUCCCUUAGUGACUGGCUUUUGUCAACUUGACACAAACUAGAGUCACCCAGAAGGAAUUGAGAGGGAAACUCAAUUGAGGAAAUACCUCCACCAGAUGGGUUAUUGGUAUGCCUAUGGGCUGUCUUUUUUAAAUUAUUGAUUGAUAUGGGAAGGCCUAGCCCACCAUGGGUGGUGACAUUCCUAGGCAGGUGCUCCUUGGAGGUAUAAGAAGGGUAGCCUGGAAACAAAUCAGCAACAUUCCUUCAUGGCCACUGUUUCAGUUCAUGCCUCCAGAGUCCCUGAGCUCCUGCCCUGGAUGAUAGACUGUUAACUGAAGUAUAAACCAAGUAAUCCCUUUUCUCCUCGAGGUAUUUUAUUCAGGUUUAUCAUAGCAUCAGAAAGGAGACCAAAACAGUCCCUUUGUAAAGAUACUCUAGAGUCAGGUAAACCUUGCUGCAGUACAUCACCCUCAGACUUCUGGCUGAAUAAGGACUUUGGGAGUGGAAAGGUCACACCUGAUAUUAAACUUCGGUCACCAUGGUAAGUUCAACACUUAGUCUUGUUUGCAUUGACUUCCAGGGAGUCUCCAAGGAGAAAAUACCUUUCUUCUGCAGCUUCAUUUCUACCUGUAUCAUCUCAUGCACAAGGAGCUCUAGACUACACAGCAGGACAUAUAAAAGGCUCUUUAGAUGUGAAAGAAUAUCAUGAAGCCGUUAGCCAACCAGCCUGACUAGGGAGGGUGACCUUUGUUGCAGGUGACCAGGGAGGCUGGCCUUUGUUGCAGGUGACCAGUGAGGGUGGCCUUUGUUGCAGGUGACCAGGGAGGCUGGCCUUUGUUGCAGGUGACCAGGGAGGCUGGCCUUUGUUGCAGGUAACCAGUGAGGAUGGCCUUUGUUGCAGGUGACCAGGGAGGCUGGCCUUUGUUGCAGGUGACCAGGGAGGCUGGC
ensembl:lncRNA